AACGAACGCUGGCGGCAUGCCUAACACAUGCAAGUCGAACGAGACCUUCGGGUCUAGUGGCGCACGGGUGCGUAACGCGUGGGAACCUGCCCUUAGGUUCGGAAUAACUCCCCGAAAGGGGUGCUAAUACCGGAUAAUGUCUUCGGACCAAAGAUUUAUCGCCUUUGGAUGGGCCCGCGUUGGAUUAGCUAGUUGGUGAGGUAAAGGCUCACCAAGGCGACGAUCCAUAGCUGGUCUGAGAGGAUGAUCAGCCACACUGGGACUGAGACACGGCCCAGACUCCUACGGGAGGCAGCAGUGGGGAAUAUUGGACAAUGGGCGAAAGCCUGAUCCAGCAAUGCCGCGUGAGUGAUGAAGGCCCUAGGGUUGUAAAGCUCUUUUACCUAGGGAUGAUAAUGACAGUACCUGGAGAAUAAGCUCCGGCUAACUCCGUGCCAGCAGCCGCGGUAAUACGGAGGGAGCUAGCGUUGUUCGGAAUUACUGGGCGUAAAGCGCACGUA
rnacentral:rRNA from 1 species